rnacentral:piRNA from 1 species
GAAAAGGAGGAUAAAUAUGAAGA